ACGGCAUUUCAGAAUGUUUGUAAACAAUAGGCACCAAGAUACUUCCGGGUGGCAGAACGCGAGCGGCUUCUACUGACCAACUGAAGAGAUCCAGCCGGCUACUGUAAACAGUUACAUAGUUAAAAACAUUGUUGUUGAUCAAAGUUGAAACAAUGAUGAAAACGUGUUGUGUUUGGGGUUGCGCCGCCAGAUAUACAUCACAAGGUGUAGGGUUUUAUCGAUUUCCUUCAGAAAAAAGUACAUUUAUCCAGGGGAACCUGUGGGUGAGGAGGUUAAAGUGACUGGACGUUGUCAAAAGUAGUGUUACAGAGAAGAUAGCAAGACUGCCUGGUGGCGGAGUAGCCAUUUCUAACGGGGCAGACUUGGAACCAAACCUCCAUCAUCGUGUUUGUGGAAGACAUUUUCUCACAGGUUGUCCGAACCCCGACCCCGACCACCCUGACUUUGCUCCUUCACAACACCUGGGACCUGAGUUAACCGAUCCAACCGCAUCUGCUAAGAGAGCAGCAGAU